GAAUGUUUAUUUUUUCCCAACAUAUAGCUGCCUUUUGAUUAAAUUUAUUGAUGUGUAAUACAAGAUUAUAUAAAUUAGCAUUGUAUCGUAUUACUCGAUCAAUCAAUAUUGGCGACAAGUUUUAUUAUAAACUAUAGGCAAUUUAAUUUGUCAAAUGUAAUAGUUUUUCCUUUUGUUACGUGAGCUUCAUUUUCUAUUGGUUUUCUUAUGUUUGUCAAAUUCGAUUCGAUCGUCUAUUUCUUUACGGUAAAAUAUAAGCUAUUACUUGUCAACUUCAGAAAAGGAUUGCAGUGAUCGAAGCAGCGAAUAUUCUGUAUAUAAUUGCCACGUGAUAAUGAUUUGAAAUAUUAUACAAAGAGAAGUCCCAUUCGAAAGGAUGUGGAGAACGACGACGAUGGAAGGGAAUAAAUUGCUAUCGCGUCUGAUCGUAUAUAAAGCUUACCUCCUUGAAUGGUUACUACUCGUGAUUCGGACCGAUAUCUCGUGGCAUGCCAUACGGGAAAUGAGAAGAAUGAAGAAGAGAGGGCGAACUCGUGCGUCAUCGUUAUUUUCUCUUUUCGUUCUCGCGUAUGGCGAUCAAUUGCGGAUGAAGUGGCAGAAAUUCGCGCGUGACGGGGUUGCACUAGAACGAUUUAGAAACAUAUAUUGAUCGCUUUAAUUCGAGAACUCUCCUGCAACUGUCAAAAUAAAAUUAAUAAAACGAUUAACGCGACAAAUUAAAGAAAAUUAGAAAUAAAAGUAAGACCGUUAGAUAAUAAAGAACGUCAAUUUUUUAUAUAAAAAUUCAAGAUCGCAUUGCAUGAAAAUGGCAAUGUUAACGUCGAACUUAUGUUUUAGUCAUUGUUAUUUAUUUUUUACUUUUUUCACGGUCUUCACUUUCUUCUAUAUCAUUUUGAAAUCUUUGAAAAACAUAUAUAUAUAGGUAUUGUUUAUAGUGUAUAUUAUUAUCGCCGCAGAACACCGUUUGCUAUGCAUCUUUUCCUUCUUUAAGGUGUACUAAGUGAUGUACGCAUCGCGGUAUUCUUGAAGCUUUAGGCGGAAACUCAAAUACAGACGCUAUACAAGAUCAAUAUAGUUGUAUACUACGAUGCACAUAUGUUCGGGAGCGAUUCGAAGGAUACACCGACUGCAUUCAACGAUGAACAGUAUCAUUUUCUCGUUAUGACGAUUGAGAACGCGGAAGUUUCUCUAAAGUGAGGUCUGAGCAAGAUAGAAGGCAUCUUGUCUACUAUCACAAUUAGAUAACAAUGUCUAAUAUCAAAAUGAUUACGAUUGCGAAUUGCGUUGUUAUAAAUAUUCGCGAUAAUUUGCAAUGUACUUGAUUAUAUUUAAUGAAAGUAUUUAUCUUUA